rnacentral:rRNA from 1 species
GCAAGUCGAGGGGUAACAUUGUGCUUGCACAGAUGACGACCGGCGCACGGGUGCGUAACGCGUAUAGAACCUACCUUUUACAGAGGGAUAGCCUUUAGAAAUGAAGAUUAAUAUCUCAUAGUAUUAGGAUGUGGCAUCACAUCCUACUUAAAGAUUUAUCGGUAAAAGAUGGCUAUGCGUCCUAUUAGCUAGAUGGUAAGGUAACGGCUUACCAUGGCGAUGAUAGGUAGGGGCCCUGAGAGGGGGAUC